rnacentral:piRNA from 1 species
GCACCUAGAACCAUGUCGCGUAUUUUAAA